rnacentral:rRNA from 1 species
CGGUAAGGUGAUAUGAACCGUUAUAAACGGAGAUUUCCGAAUGGGGAAACACAGUGUGACUCGUCACAAUAUAAAUAAAUGAAUCCAUAGGUUAAUGAGGCGAACCGGGGGAACUGAAACAUCUAAGUACCCCGAGGAAAAGAAAUCAACCGAGAUUCCCCCAGUAGCGGCGAGCGAACGGGGAGGAGCCCAGAGCCUGAAUCAGCAUGUGUGUUAGUGGAAGCGUCUGGAAAGGCGCGCGAUACAGGGUGACAGCCCCGUACACAAAAGCGCAUGUGCUGUGAGCUCGAUGAGUAGGGCGGGACACGUGGUAUCCUGUCUGAAUAUGGGGGGACCAUCCUCCAAGGCUAAAUACUCCUGACUGACCGAUAGUGAACCAGUACCGUGAGGGAAAGGCGAAAAGAACCCCGGCGAGGGGAGUGAAAAAGAACCUGAAACCGUGUACGUACAAGCAGUGGGAGCNNGGGCGUUAAGUUGCAGGGUAUAGACCCGAAACCCGGUGAUCUAGCCAUGGGCAGGUUGAAGGUUGGGUAACACUAACUGGAGGACCGAACCGACUAAUGUUGAAAAAUUAGCGGAUGACCUGUGGCUGGGGGUGAAAGGCCAAUCAAACCGGGAGAUAGCUGGUUCUCCCCGAAAGCUAUUUAGGUAGCGCCUCGUGAAUUCAUCUCCGGGGGUAGAGCACUGUUUCGGCUAGGGGGCCAUCCCGGCUUACCAACCCGAUGCAAACUGCGAAUACCGGAGAAUGUUAUCACGGGAGACACACGGCGGGUGCUAACGUCCGUCGUGAAGAGGGAAACAACCCAGACCGCCAGCUAAGGUCCCAAAGUCAUGGUUAAGUGGGAAACGAUGUGGGAAGGCCCAGACAGCCAGGAUGUUGGCUUAGAAGCAGCCAUCAUUUAAAGAAAGCGUAAUAGCUCACUGGUCGAGUCGGCCUGCGCGGAAGAUGUAACGGGGCUAAACCAUGCACCGAAGCUGCGGCAGCGACGCUGAUGCGUUGUUGGGUAGGGGAGCGUUCUGUAAGCCUGCGAAGGUGGCCUGUGAGGGUUGCUGGAGGUAUCAGAAGUGCGAAUGCUGACAUAAGUAACGAUAAAGCGGGUGAAAAGCCCGCUCGCCGGAAGACCAAGGGUUCCUGUCCAACGUUAAUCGGGGCAGGGUGAGUCGACCCCUAAGGCGAGGCCGAAAGGCGUAGUCGAUGGGAAACGGGUUAAUAUUCCCGUACUUGGUGUUACUGCGAAGGGGGGACGGAGAAGGCUAUGUUGGCCGGGCGACGGUUGUCCCGGUUUAAGCGUGUAGGUGUGUGUUCCAGGUAAAUCCGGUUCACUUUAACACUGAGGCGUGAUGACGAGGCACUACGGUGCUGAAGCAACAAAUGCCCUGCUUCCAGGAAAAGCCUCUAAGCAUCAGGUAACAUCAAAUCGUACCCCAAACCGACACAGGUGGUCAGGUAGAGAAUACCAAGGCGCUUGAGAGAACUCGGGUGAAGGAACUAGGCAAAAUGGUGCCGUAACUUCGGGAGAAGGCACGCUGACACGUAGGUGAAGUGAUUUACUCAUGGAGCUGAAGUCAGUCGAAGAUACCAGCUGGCUGCAACUGUUUAUUAAAAACACAGCACUGUGCAAACACGAAAGUGGACGUAUACGGUGUGACGCCUGCCCGGUGCCGGAAGGUUAAUUGAUGGGGUCAGCGCAAGCGAAGCUCCUGAUCGAAGCCCCGGUAAACGGCGGCCGUAACUAUAACGGUCCUAAGGUAGCGAAAUUCCUUGUCGGGUAAGUUCCGACCUGCACGAAUGGCGUAAUGAUGGCCAGGCUGUCUCCACCCGAGACUCAGUGAAAUUGAACUCGCUGUGAAGAUGCAGUGUACCCGCGGCAAGACGGAAAGACCCCGUGAACCUUUACUAUAGCUUGACACUGAACAUUGAGCCUUGAUGUGUAGGAUAGGUGGGAGGCUUUGAAGUGUGGACGCCAGUCUGCAUGGAGCCGGCCUUGAAAUACCACCCUUUAAUGUUUGAUGUUCUAACGUGGACCCGUGAUCCGGGUUGCGGACAGUGUCUGGUGGGUAGUUUGACUGGGGCGGUCUCCUCCUAAAGAGUAACGGAGGAGCACGAAGGUUGGCUAAUCCUGGUCGGACAUCAGGAGGUUAGUGCAAUGGCAUAAGCCAGCUUGACUGCGAGCGUGACGGCGCGAGCAGGUGCGAAAGCAGGUCAUAGUGAUCCGGUGGUUCUGAAUGGAAGGGCCAUCGCUCAACGGAUAAAAGGUACUCCGGGGAUAACAGGCUGAUACCGCCCAAGAGUUCAUAUCGACGGCGGUGUUUGGCACCUCGAUGUCGGCUCAUCACAUCCUGGGGCUGAAGUAGGUCCCAAGGGUAUGGCUGUUCGCCAUUUAAAGUGGUACGCGAGCUGGGUUUAGAACGUCGUGAGACAGUUCGGUCCCUAUCUGCCGUGGGCGCUGGAGAACUGAGGGGGGCUGCUCCUAGUACGAGAGGACCGGAGUGGACGCAUCACUGGUGUUCGGGUUGUCAUGCCAAUGGCACUGCCCGGUAGCUAAAUGCGGAAGAGAUAAGUGCUGAAAGCAUCUAAGCACGAAACUUGCCCCGAGAUCAGUUCUCCCUGAGACUUAGAGCCUCCUGAAGGAACGUUGAAGACGACGACGUUGAUAGGCCGG